AAAUCCCUCUGCUCCCUCGCUCUGAACCAGACCUCAAACCCCGGCUCAGACACGCAGGAUUGCUGGAGAUACCAGCAAAAGAUAAAUGCAGGGUACCAGGACUCUUGGAGAGAGGAAAAAGAGAAUGAAUUAAUGGAUUCAGCCAAUGUAAGCAAAAUCAAGAUCUGGCUCGGUGACACUUCAUCAGCAUUUCUUUUCUGGCGUGACAGAGACAGAUGGGCUGUUUGGGAAAGGGAUUUUUAGAGGAGGAAGAGGAGAAAAAAAAUACAUUUGACCCGAGUUUUGCAACAAAACGUCAGCAAAGCUCGUGCCCAGAUGAAUCCAAGAGGUCUCUCCAAAUUCCACUGUGGGAGCUGUGAGACAGGAGUCACCUGAGGAGCCAAACCACUGCUGGGAGGGGGAGAAACACCUCAGUUAUGCCCUUUGGAUACAGUAAAAAUAACAAAACCAGUUCACUUUGGGUGUGUUAAUUUUGGCCUGAAUAAACCACCUUUACCCUUUGA